rnacentral:rRNA from 1 species
UUAGUGGCGCACGGGUGCGUAACGCGUGGGAAUCUGCCCCUUGGUUCGGAAUAACAGUUGGAAACGACUGCUAAUACCGGAUGACGACGUAAGUCCAAAGAUUUAUCGCCGAGGGAUGAGCCCGCGUAGGAUUAGGUAGUUGGUGUGGUAAAGGCGCACCAAGCCGACGAUCCUUAGUUGGUCUGAGAGGAUGAUCAGCCACACUGGGACUGAGACACGGCCCAGACUCCUACGGGAGGCAGCAGUGGGGAAUAUUGGACAAUGGGCGAAAGCCUGAUCCAGCAAUGCCGCGUGAGUGAUGAAGGCCUUAGGGUUGUAAAGCUCUUUUACCCGGGAUGAUAAUGACAGUACCGGGAGAAUAAGCUCCGGCUAACUCCGUGCCAGCAGCCGCGGUAAUACGGAGGGAGCUAGCGUUAUUCGGAAUUACUGGGCGUAAAGCGCACGUAGGCGGCUUUGUAAGUAAGAGGUGAAAGCCCAGAGCUCAACUCUGGAAUUGCCUUUUAGACUGCAUCGCUUGAAUCAUGGAGAGGUCAGUGGAAUUCCGAGUGUAGAGGUGAAAUUCGUAGAUAUUCGGAAGA